GGUGCUUGCACCCCGCUGACGAGCGGCGGACGGGUGAGUAAUGCAUAGGAAACUGCCCAGUAGUGGGGGAUAGCCCGGGGAAACCCGGAUUAAUACCGCGUACGCCCUUCGGGGGAAAGCAGGGGAUCUUCGGACCUUGCGCUAUUGGAUGUGCCUAUGUCGGAUUAGCUAGUUGGUGGGGUAAAGGCCUACCAAGGCGACGAUCCGUAGCUGGUCUGAGAGGAUGAUCAGCCACAUCGGGACUGAGACACGGCCCGAACUCCUACGGGAGGCAGCAGUGGGGAAUAUUGGACAAUGGGGGCAACCCUGAUCCAGCCAUGCCGCGUGUGUGAAGAAGGCUUUCGGGUUGUAAAGCACUUUCAGUGAG
rnacentral:rRNA from 1 species